AUUGAACGCUGGCGGCAGGCCUAACACAUGCAAGUCGAACGAGUGGCGGACGGGUGAGUAAUGUCUGGGAAACUGCCCGCAGGAGGGGGGUAACUACUCGAAACGGUAGAUAAUACCGCAUACAAUAGGGUGUGCCCAGAUGGGAUUAGCUUGUAGGUGGGGUAAGGGCUCACCUAGGCGCCGAACCCUAGAUGGUCUGAGAGGAUGACCAGCCACACUGGAACUUAUACACGGUCCAGUCUCCUACGGGAGGUAGCAGUGGGGAAUAUUGCACAAUGGGCGCAAGCCUGAUGCAGCCAUGCCGCGUGUAUGAUGAAGGCCUUCGGGUUGUAAAGUACUUUCAGCGGUGAGGCGGUACCCGCAGAAUAAGCACCGGCUAACUCCGUGCCAGCAGCCGCGGUAAUAC
rnacentral:rRNA from 1 species